UACGGAGGGGGCGAGCGUUAUUCGGAAUUAUUGGGCGUAAAGGGCGCGUAGGCGGCUUGAUGUGUCAAAGGUGAAAUCCCUCGGCUCAACUGGGGAACUGCCUUUGAAACUGUCUGGCUUGAGGCCGGGAGAGGGUAGCGGAAUUCCCAGUGUAGCGGUGAAAUGCGUAGAUACUGGGAGGAACACCGGUGGCGAAGGCGGCUACCUGGACCGGUUCUGACGCUGAUGCGCGAAAGCGUGGGUAGCAAACAGG
rnacentral:rRNA from 1 species